UCACCCCUGACAAUGAUGCCCAUUAAGCAUCGCCCGGCGGUAUACAUGGGACGGAACCCAAAGUUGUUUCGCCGAUCGAACAGAAGCGGACAUGCACGCCCUCACCCGCCUCCGCCUCCAACUGGGCUCUGCCGAUGAGGAGGAAGCCGUCUCGGGCGCACCGCCAAUCAGUACUCGGCCCGGAUCCGGACCCUUGGUGAAGCCGCUGUGGUCUCUGCUUCCGUCUUCAGCGGUUCCUCCCAAUGCCGCUGUAUGAUGGAGAUUCUGGAUGAUCGGCGCUCCCCGAAGAGAUGGUCUCUGGGAAAUUGAUGUACAAGUAUAUAGGCUACAACAUCUCAGCAAACAUCACACAACCUGCUAACUCUUUGUCCACCACAUGCACCUGACCAAAAGAUGCACCAUUGGCAAUCAUCACGAUGAACUUCUGCCAUCUCUGUUAAAGCCCUUCUAUCUGCAUAACCAUACGCAUCAUGCAAUUGAGGCAGACAAGAGACUCCUUGUUUAGCUUUCGAUCAUGGAAAGAAAAGGAGAAGGUGUCUUAUCAGAGAGAAGCAUAAUUGAUUAGCUUUCUCAGCCUUUUCCUCAGGAUGAUGUGGAGGACUCCUUGUGCUCUGGCAUCAAGUGUUUACACCUAAGCUAUCAUCAUGUUGCAGAUAGAAUUUUUUUGGUUAUGUCAUGUUCUUUAGAGAUUCAUUGUUAUUGUUAAUGCUCAUGGAUGCUAUUUGGUUGGUCUUCAAGAAUGUUAAACUAGUACAAUUUAUUCUCACCUAACUAAUAAAACCACAUUCAGAUGUGUUACAUGAUAGUGCUCAGUGAAUUUUACAUUCAUAGAUAUUGUGUCAGAAGAGAACAUACCAAGAAUUUCCAGUAUAUGACAUUUUCUGAAACAAAGUGCUGGAUGUUUAAUUUUGAUUAUCUUUUAGUAGGUUGAUUUAAACGUUCAAGGUGGCCUUUCUUACUUGCAUAAGAGUCAGAAAGAGAUGAAAUCUUGAAUGCCGUUUAGAAGUUGCUUUGGUUAAUCUGGAUGAAUAUCAAAUCCUAGUUAAUAUUAGGCUUGUUGCUGUAAUUUGGACUGGCUACAGUAAUCAAAUAGCAUAGACUGUAGGUGACUAUAUCGAGUUGUAAAAUUUUCAUUUACCUAGUAAAACUUCCAAUUUGUAUGCAUAGCCUGUGUGCCAUUGCGUAUUGUUUCCAAAUUGUUAUAAUGCAAUAACAAAGGUACUUAGCCUUGCAACUGUGACCUUGUGAGUUCUGCUGGUUUCUUUAUAUAGGACUUAGGAAAAUGAACGUUGAACGUCAUAGUUUUUAAAAAGCUAAGUCUGCAACAAAUGGUAUAGGAUAUGCUUUGACUCCUUCCAUUAGGACUGAAGGUUAAAGUUUUUUGAUUUGCCUGGGCAUUAUUUGAGAAUGAUAUUGCAACUCCUAUAAAGCCAUGGCUCUUUAGAAGCAAUGGUGUGUCUGCUGUGUAUCCUACCUCAGAAUCAUAUCUUCCUUUCUUUUGUUUCUAAGAUGCUGCUUUUUCUAAAAGAAAAAAAAGAGAAGAUGCUGUUUUUUCCUACAAUUGGUUCUCACUUUGUUCCACUGAGGCCAGCAAAUUUAAUUCCUCUUAACAUAUGUAGAUGAACUGAAAUGUGUGGUAUCAUAGACUCAAACAAGAGCUAGUACCAUUGUUUUCAAUGAUAAUUUACAAAAAGACUUAUGUUAAGCAUUAAAGAAACUAUUAAAUCUAGAUAUUGGAAUACUUCUUUACUGCUACUUUAGAAAUGGUUAAAAUCUACCUUUGCAUCUUGUUUGAAUCAUUACUUGUGAUUCAACUUUUUAUGGAUUACCUUAACAUUUAUGUGACUUUAAAUUGGGCAGGCUUGAAGACAUUUGCCCUAACACAACAAGCAAUAUGUACUGGCAUGGAUUGACAUCACACAGUAUAGCAUGGUGCUGUACUAUGCCAGGUUGGUGUGACAAUCAUAGGUGGACUGCAGGGAGCUUUACCAUAUGAGACAGCCCUUCAUCAAGAAACCUGCUCCACUAGGUUGUCUAGUCGCUGAAGUCCAUCUACACCUACAAAAUCCUGUUGGGAACCAAUCUCAUAGGAGUCAUAGGCUUAGGAUGGGGACAGAGCCUUGUCAUCUCAAUUGAGAUAUUAUACCUCUUAUGUGCAGCUCAACUCAGAAUGUGAGUUUCGUUAGCUUUCUGUCAGGUAUUAAAAAAACAAUUUAUUGAGAAGUUGGUUUUGGUAGAUUGUCCACUAACCAAUAUCUGUGUUAAUUAAUGUACAUACAAAUCUUGAACUCUCGAGACCUCUCUUUUUAAGGUGUUACGAGAAUAAUGACGCAGGUGAUGCGUCCACACCAUCUCAACAACUCAACUGCAUGGGAUCGAGUUGCCGGGCCGUCUGUUCGAUUCGACGAAGCCAUAUGAUGGACGAGAUGACUCUACACGAUCAAUUUGUUGAUGCCAUAUAGAGGGCACGUCAGGUUAAUAUACCCUCUACACGUUAAUACCUUGUGGAGGGUACAUUAGUUUGACGAAAUUGAUGAGUGGGCUUCAUGUGGUUGACACAUCGAAGACAUGUGGAAGACACACAGCUUCACACAAUCGACCAUUAGGUUUCACUUGAUUGACAUAUUAUAGCCACUUGGCUGG